CAGGAACGCUGGCGGCAGGCUUAACACAUGCAAGUCGAGCGCCCCGCAAGGGGAGCGGCAGACGGGUGAGUAACGCGUGGGAAUCUACCCAUCUCUACGGAAUAACGCAUGGAAACGUGUGCUAAUACCGUAUACGUCCUUCGGGAGAAAGAUUUAUCGGAGAUGGAUGAGCCCGCGUUGGAUUAGCUAGUUGGUGGGGUAAAGGCCUACCAAGGCGACGAUCCAUAGCUGGUCUGAGAGGAUGAUCAGCCACACUGGGACUGAGACACGGCCCAGACUCCUACGGGAGGCAGCAGUGGGGAAUAUUGGACAAUGGGCGCAAGCUUGAUCCAGCCAUGCCGCGUGAGUGAUGAAGGCCCUAGGGUUGUAAAGCUCUUUCACCGGUGAAGAUAAUGACGGUAACCGGAGAAGAAGCCCCGGCUAACUUCGUGCCAGCAGCCGCCGUAAUAC
rnacentral:rRNA from 1 species